rnacentral:lncRNA from 1 species
CCCAAGAAUGCAGUCAAACACGUCAAAAGAAGCAACACUGCAACAAUCAGGUGAGUUUCUGCAUACUGCUUGUGGUCUAAAUUGUUUGGUCUUGUACAGUACUUCUCUGUAGAGCUGUACACUAGUCUUACUUAUCUGUUUUGAAGCCCUGUUACUGUAGUAAUUUCUCACCCUAAGGUCCUAGAUUUUCCGAACACUUCUUAAAAUUUGUCCAACAGAGGAGCCUGAUGGAACUUUAAUUAAGAUAGAAAUGACCGUGAGAUACCAUAAUUAAUCGCUCCUGUCAGGAGUUGAACCCCUGUUGGUUGGGACAAAUCACAAAGUCCAUAUCACUAGGCUACAACACAUUUCUUAAAGGUCCUAUAUGUCGCCUUAUUGAAUAAGUAACAUAAAGCACAAUAGCAGUUUUAUGAUUAAUAAAGUUUCUUGCUCAGUUUCGAAUAAAAGAAAUUCUUACAUCCGUGUGCCGGUUAAGUAACAUCUCAGAGCUAAAGCAAGUGAGGACGCUAAUAGCCAGUGUGCAUGAAUGUUAAUCCUCCCAAAUCCUAGUACCUGCCAAUUCAGACCCUUCUUUUUAAUUGAAGUUCUUCUGGAUCCAUUUCUGAAUGAAUCUUUACUUUCUUUGUAUGCUUUCACAAGUUUAUCCUGUGAUGUCUCUUUUGUUUGCUUGUAUUUACCCUCAUCUUGCAGUUCUCUGGCAGGGUGUGGAUUUCUGUUGGUUUAUGAUGGGCUGAUCCCACUGUAUAGGUAUACCUGUCUCGCCCAUUAUUGGCGGGUGCGCUAGCUUGAAAGAGAUACUGCAGUUUCAAUAGUUAAUGCUGUUCAUGCCACUGUAUGUAGUCGAUAAAUUGCUGAGUUUUUAUCAUUCCGUCAUAUGCUUGAGUUAUACUACCUCCACUCCAAAUAUAUUUGAAGUUCUCUGUUUGUCUUAAGUCAACUUCUUUUAGUUUGACCAUGUAUAUAGAAAAAUAUAUUAAUAUCUCCAUUCAAUUGGAUCACACGCUCCUCUGGACUGCGUGUUCAUG